rnacentral:lncRNA from 13 species
AGUUACAUCAGAUGUCUACUCUCACGUCUGCCAUUGGAGAGGCAGUCCCUCAGCACCCAUUCUUCAAAUAGCCCCCUUUCUCAAUGCUCUCAUUCUUUGUCUCCUUAAUUUACUUUUGUUUUCCUUUUGAUACACGUGUUAACCUGCGUGUAUGCAUUGUCUGCUGUUCUCCCUCUACAGUGAGAACAACAACUUGGUUACUGUGCCAGGAACAUAGAAAGCAUUCAAUAAAUAUUUGUUGAAAGCAAGCAUAUAAAUUAUAUUAUAUAAUGAAGGUUUGCAUACCCACAAUAUUCAUGUGUUGAAACCCUAAUCCCGGAAUAUGAUUGUAUUUAGAGAUAGGGCCUUUGAGGAAGCAACUGGGCCCUGAUCUGAUAGUAUUAGUGUCCUUAUCAGAAGAGAGAUGUCAGGAGCACUUACUCCCUCUCUUCAUAUGCAUACACAGAAGAAAGGCGGUGUGAGCCCAUACUGGGAAGGUGGCCAUCUGCAAGCCAGAAAGGGAGCCCGAACUGAAUCAGCUGGCACCUUGAUCUUGGACUUUCCAGCCUCCAGAACUUGGAAUGUACCCGUAGGACUUGGGAUGUGAAGUAAUAUUCAAACGUGGUCAAAUUCUUCCACAUAUAAGAAAGAAUAGGUGUCUCUAUGUUGCCCAGGCUUGAGUGCAGUGGUGUGAUCGCAGCUCACUACAGCCUUGACCUCCCCAGGAUCAGUUCUAGGGAUAAAGACUUCAGAGGAAACUUACGGAUUCUCUCCCUCUUGGCUACAAUGAUGACUCCCUAUAGUUCACUGCCUGGUCCUCAUGCUUCGCCUCUCAGUUUCGUUUUCUUCAUCUCUGAGACCGCUCAGCAGAGGGGUGGAUAAUUUAACUGAUGAUCGUUAGCCAUUUCCUUUCUCGGCCAGUCAACUGCAUUCCUCUCUAUUUUAGGAGCAAGUUACAGCUUAAAGAAAACAACAUCACCUGAAACACCUAAAAGAAAUGUAUUUUGUACAAAAAGUGCAUUUCCUUAUACUCUGAGGCUUUCUUCUCGCAAAGGCUGUUUAUCUAUCACAGCUCAGAGGGUUGUGCGGUUGAAUUUCCUCAUGUGACAGCUGGGUAUUCCAAUAUACAGAUGUCCUGGGAGCCAGCGCAGUGACAGAAUGAGGGGAGCUGGUCCAGGGGAUGUGUAGGGAUCACCGUAAGUACCCUUCCCAGGUGCUUGGGUGGCUUGGGUGCUGUGUAGUCUAUCACUCUCUCAGCAGAGCUGCUUCCAACUCGGGAAUAUUGUCAACGAUUCCGAACUGCACAUUUUGAGGUGGUGAAAUAUUACAGUAAACAUGUGAUUUUUAUUUUUCUAAUAUUCCUUGCUUCCCUGCUGCUGUCUGUGUCUUCUCUUCCUCACUCAGCCACAUCGGUUCCUGUUGCUCAUUUGGCAUUCCUGGCUUCAUAAAUAUAAAUUUUAUGGUUUACUUCCUUGACUCUAUCUUAAAUGCUUCCCACUCUGUCAGUUUCCCAUGCAUUUUUGAGCUACAGCCAGUCUUCUUUAACAAGCUGUACGUUCCUUCACAGUCUGUUAAAAACCGCUAUUUCUUUACUGCUGUCCUAUAGACUCUUAUCAAUAUUUCAACUCUUGUGAUCACCAAGUUGCCCAAGAAUAGCAUCUGCAGUUAAAUUAACAGGGAUAAAAUUACAAGAUCUAUCAAUCUUUAUGCUUCACGAUGUAAGGAGGUCAUUAACUGAGGUCAGGAGAAAGUUUUCCCUGACAGCGAGCUCCUUCAGAAUUAGUGCAUUAUGGAACAUUUACAAAUUAGUCUCAUUAUAUUUAGGGGCAUCUGGUAUAAACCCCUUGUCACAAUCAUGAUUCUGGGAAGGCAAUUAAUAGGU